rnacentral:rRNA from 1 species
CCUACGGGAGGCAGCAGUGAGGACUAUUGGUCAAUGGACGCAAGUCUGAACCAGCCAAGUAGCGUGCAGGAUGACGGCCCUCCGGGUUGUAAACUUCUUUUAGUUGGGAAUCAAAGGGGGCUCGUGAGCCCCGUCUUGUAUGUACCAUCAGAAAAAGGACCGGCUAAUUCCGGGCCAGCCGCCGCGGUAAUACGGAGUGUGCUGGAGUUCUCCUGAUUGAUUGGGUUUAACGGGAGCGUAGGCCGGCGUUUAAGUCAGCUGUGAAAGUCCGCGGCUCAACCGUGGAAUUGCAGUUGAUAUUGUAGGCCUUGAGUGCACACAGGGAUGCCGGAAUUCAGGGUGGAGCGGUGAAAUGCUGAGAUAUCAUGAAGAACUCCGAUCGCGACGGCAAGUGUCCGGGGUGCAACUGACGCUGAGGCUCGAAAGUGCGGGUAUCAAACAGGAGUAGAUACCCUUGUAGUC